rnacentral:rRNA from 1 species
UCGAGAAUUUUUCACAAUGGGCGCAAGCCUGAUGGAGCGACGCCGCGUGGGGGAUGAAGGGUUUCGAUCCGUAAACCCCUGUCAUUUGCGAACAAACCUUGAUUGUGAAUAGCGAUCGAGCUGGUUGUAGCGGAAGAGGAAGGGACGGCUAACUCUGUGCCAGCAGCCGCGGUAAUACAGAGGUCCCAAGCGUUGUUCGGAUUCACUGGGCGUAAAGGGUGCGUAGGUGGUCGGUGAAGUUCGGUGUGAAAGCUCGGAGCUCAACUCCGAAACGGCAUUGAAAACUCAUCGGAUGGAGGGUCGGAGGGGAGACUGGAAUUCUCGGUGUAGCAGUGAAAUGCGUAGAUAUCGAGAGGAACACCAGUGGCGAAGGCGAGUCUCUGGACGACUCCUGACACUGAGGCACGAAAGCCAGGGGAGCAAACAG